rnacentral:rRNA from 1 species
UACGUAGGUGGCAAGCGUUGCCCGGAAUUAUUGGGCGUAAAGCGCGCGCAGGCGGCCUCUUAAGUCUGAUGUGAAAGCCCCCGGCUCAACCGGGGAGGGCCAUUGGAAACUGGGAGGCUUGAGUAUAGGAGAGAAGAGUGGAAUUCCACGUGUAGCGGUGAAAUGCGUAGAGAUGAUGGAGGAACACCAGUGGCGAAGGCGACUCUUUGGCCUAUAACUGACGCUGAGGCGCGAAAGCGUGGGGAGCAAACAGG